AUGACAAACGGAACAAGUGGUGGAGUGGUAAGUAUGCGCGUCUGUAAGGGUAGGAACGCCACCGGAGAAAUCUAAUCACCGUUGGAGUCCGAAGACGCCACCGGAGUCACGCCGGAGUCUUACGACGGAACUUAACUCGAACCGUUUUCGCUUUAAAUCGGAGAAGAUGAUACGAACACGUCUCGGGAUUCACUCCGUUUCAAUUCGGAUAAUCAUUUCGUUCUCCUGGAAUUAUCAAUCCUACUCGUGCGUUACUUACAAGAAAUCGCAACGCAAUCAAUGUUGAAAGUACAAGAUUCAAGAAUCAAGCUAGGAUGAACCCUAGAAACCCACAUAACAUUUGAAUUAUUGUUGAACAAGAUGUUGUAUUGUUUGGAACUAUGUAUUUCACUUUAGAGUUUAUGAAAUGAAUAAAAUAAAUUAUUGUCACAUUUAGUGUUAUGUUGUUUUGAGCAAUUUGUACGUCUC
rnacentral:lncRNA from 1 species